UCUAGAUCCAGAGGAAGAGUUAGAGCCAGGUCUCCUGAGCCUCAGUCAGGAGCAGAAAUGUGCAGACAACUGUCCAGCUCACAGCCUCCCUGCGAGUCUGAGCUCACCUCUUGCUCUGUGCUGUGUUUUUGUUUUUCAGUCAAAGAAGGCUUCGAAGUCCAGUCAGAGUUAAAUGUCACCUGGAGUUCUGUACCUCCUCAGUGAACAGCAUCCUCCUGGGGAUCAGCAACACCAAAGUGGAUGACAUUGGAUUGGAGAUUGUCAGUGGCAAGGGGUCAGUAGAAGUGCUGGUAGCUGAGAAUGUGGAGUGCUCCCAAGUGCCAGCUGGCCUUUUGGAGAGAAAACUUGAUGUUCGGAGCACUGGCUGGCCCUGCCUUUUCUAAAUUGUACCUGUGACCGGUUACCUGGCUGUUGCCUAAGGUGAAAUAAGCAACGAGUUAAUGCCUACUAUGUGGGGCACAGUCCUGUGAAAAUUGGAGGGAUGCAUCAAGGGAUGAAAUGUCAGUGCCCAUCAGAAGAACCCCCUUCAAGACCUGGGAGAUGGUAUAGCACAGGAUCCUGAGACACACAGACACUUGUCUGAGUACCCAAAGAAAAGACAUUGGCUUUCAUGUCUGGCUGAAAUGAUUUGAAUCAUGGAUGUACCAGCAUCUAACUUUGCAGGGUCAUCCAUGGUGGACAGGUUUCAGCAGAGAAUCCAGACUAAGACAGACAAGGAAGAAAGCCUGGUGAUCUACUUACAGAAAUCAGCCAAUGUUCUAUGGAUCACAAGAGAACAUUAUUUCAUAUAGUGCUAGAAGAUAAGACCUUCAGGUUGAACAGUACUCAAAAUAUACAAACAUACCAAUGAUGAUAAAGAUGACACAGGACUGGCAAUAUUUUUUUCUGUUAUACACAAGGUUACCAUGAGUCAGAGCCAACUCAACGGCAACUAAAAACUAACACCAACGACUAAGAUUUAACAUAUUGAACCAUAUUUAUACAUGGCCCUUUCAUAUAUAUACUGGCACCAAUAUAACUUUUUUUUAUAUUUUCCAAAAUAAUUCAUUAAAUAGUUCUUAUAAAAAUAUGCAUACAUUUAUUUAUAUUGCUAUAACAUCAAUGCUAAUAAUCCUGAAGAAAAUGCUAAAUUUAAAAAAUAUUUUCCUUUUAAACCAACUGCACUUUUAAACAUAAUUUAGUUUAUUGAAUUGAGAAUAUAUUUCUACAUCGGCA